rnacentral:lncRNA from 1 species
GGAUUGGGAUGGAUCGGAAGAAAGAAGGAGGCGCGGCUCGAGCAGCGGAUGUUAUCCUUUCAGAUUCAGAUUGAAAACUACAUGGAAACCAUCAUGGCGUCAUUCUUGUUCAGCGAUUAAACGCUUGGAUCCGCCGCUUGCAGAGCCAACACCGUUCCCUUCUCUUACCCCCAUGACCUCGAACAAAAAUCAUAUGGGGCGGGCACUACAAAAUAUCACAUGGGGCGGGUUUCAUGGUUUGCCUACAACGCAAUCCUCAGACGACCGAAAAGGAUUGAUUUUGGUAGGAGAGAAGGGGCCUUCAGAUCCCAUCACGAGGCAGGGUGGGAUUGGGAUGAAUCGGGAGAAAGAAGAAGGUGGCGCGGCUCGAGCAGCGGAUAUUAUUCUUUGGGAUUCAGAUUGAAAACUACAUGGAAACCAUCAUGGUGGGAUUCUUCUUCAGCGAUUAAACGCUUGGAGUUUAGUUUUCGUCUCCACACGGCCGAUCCGCCGCUUCCAGAGCCAACACCGUUCCCUUCUCUUUCCCCCAUGACCUCCCCCCAAAACCCUAACAAAAAAAAAAAAGAGAAAUUCUUUGUGCACCGCCUGCGGUGGAGCAAAUAUGACGUGCCUCUUAGCCGUCGAGAGAAGAGGCCUUCAGAUCCCAUCACGAGGGGGUAAGAAGAAGUAGGCGCCGCUCGAGCAGCGGAUCUGGGCGGAUCUUAUUCUCUGGGAUUCAGAUUGAAAACUACAUGGAAACCAUCAUAGUGGGAUUCUUCUUCAGCGAUUAAACGCUUGGAGUUUAGUUUUCGUCUCCACACGGCCGAUCCGCCACUCCGCCGCUUCCAGAGCCGACACCGUUGCCUUCUCUUCCCCCCCAUAACCUCCCCGAAACGAGAAAAUAUUCGUUGCAACGGUGAUACCCCCGAAACCCUAACAAAUAUCAUAUAGGGCGGGCUUCCUAUUUUGCUGGCGCCCAUCCCAAAACUACCCUUCCAACUUUACUCAUUUUUUGGGGUAGCGUCUCCUGCAUAGCGAAAGGACGCUUCUUCCCGCCCCAUCCCUCUGCUCGAUAGGAGGCACAUCGGCCGGUGGGUGGUGGAGAGAGAAGAUCAUGAACAUGUAGACGAAGGAGGCAGCACUGAUGCCCUUGACCAUGGAAUGGCCGUCCGUGGCAUGGAUGGAGGCAUCGGAGAGGAUGGCGUUGUGGAAAUAUCAUGCUUCUAUCAAGAUUAAGCUCUAAAAACCUCAAGGAACCAACUCACACCGCCACAACUCGCACAAAGCCCCAUAUACGAGAAAGAAACCCAAUCAGAACCUAAGAAACCCUUCUAAUCUCUCUCAGGUGCUCUCCUUUCCCACAGAUUUCUGAAAAAUAUAAUGAAAUGAAAAAGGAAAAGAAGCGAAAAGAAACUAUGUAGGGAAAGGUCUUACCCUUAAAUUUUUUCCAUCUUUCCUUUGUUUUCGUUGAUUUUUCCCAUGUUUCCCCAUCUUUCCUCUUUUGUUUCUGUGCUCGGAAGUCCCAACCUGGUGGGAGGCUUGGAGCAGCCGAACAUGGAAGCUUAGACGAUGGCCGGGGUUUUGGGUUGGGUACUUCAUUUCGUUUUUCCGUUCUCCGGAGUCUCAAUCGGUGGGGAGGUUUGGACCGGCUCCAGCUUCCGAUUUCUGAGAGAUAAAUCCCAAAUUGAUAUGAAGCAUUACUUAAUGGGUAUUAUUUGGAUUUGAAAUGAAUCAAUAUCCCGAAAAAAACCGUUUGACCGCCAUCACUGAGCUCACUGUAGUAUUAAAUACCAGAUUGGCCAUUACAUUUUUAUAGACCUAUAUAUUAUAUUUUAACAUAAUUUUUUAAAUAAAUUUUAAAAAUUUAUAUAUAAAUAUAUAAAAAAAAUAUUAUUUAAUAGAUAUUAUUAAAAUUUGAAAUAAAUUAAAUAUUUAAAAAAAAUAUUUGACUGCCGUCAUCGAGCUCAUUGUAGCAUUAGGUGCAAAUUGGCUCAUUACAUAUAAAUCUAUUUAUUAUAUUUUAAUAUAAUUUUUUAAAUAAAUUUUAAAAAUUUAUAUAUAAAUAUAUAAAAUAUUUUAAUUUAUUAUAUAUAAAUUAAAAAUUAAAAAUAAAAUAAAUAGUAUUAAUUAGAUGAUUUUAAUUCAUCAAAAAAAAUUAUAGAAAUACUUCAACAUAUUAUAUAUGGUUUGAAAAUUUUUCAAAGAUUGAUGUAAAUAAAAUUGAUUGUUUCAAUUGUAUAAAAUUAAUAUAUAUAUAUAUAUAUUUAAUUAAAAAAUAAAUUAUAAAUUAUAUUUAUUAACUGAUUUAAAAUUUAAUAAUAGAUAAUCUAUUAAUGGGCUUAAAUUUGGUCGAGACAUAUUGAGUCAGAUUAGUUUAGUGCUAUCCUACAGAUUAGGCUCAAAAAAUCAAUAACUAAGGUUAGAUUAAUAAAUAAAAUUUAUUUAUUUUUUUAAAUUUAAUUUGAAUAUAUUGAUAGUUUAAUUAGAGGUUGAUUUAGGGUUACUAAUAUUGAAAAAAUUAAAGUAAAAUAAUUUUGCAUAUCAUGUUGAAAUGAAAAAAAUUAUUGUAAGUACUUCAUUUUUUUUAUCAUCAUUGAAUACUUUUUAUGACAUUGAUGCAUUUAUAUUGUUCCUAUGUUUAUAUUCUACAAUAGAGAUUUUUAUAUAUUUUAUAUUCAAAACUUUUGAUCUAGCUUCGAUUCAAAAAAAAUAUCGUUGGAUUUUAUUUGUGACAUAGAUUCAAAAUGAUCGAAUGAGAAUAAAAAGAUCACAUUAGAAAUAAUUUAAUUUCAAAUAUUAUUAUUUAUUUUUUCAAUUAUUUUUUGAUAGGAAACCUGCUCAAUUCAAUAAUACUUUAUAAAAUUUUUUGAUGCUCGUAUUUUCAAUUUAAAUGAAAAGAUUAUCGAAGAUGAACAUUCAUACGGAUUUAGAUUCGUUAGUUAAUAAAAAUACUAUAUAUUACAUCAUAUAAAAAAUCUAUAUAUUGAUAAAAUAUUUUAUUUUUUUUAUUUUAGUUAAAUCCCACUAUGAAGUGCAAGUUGCAUGCUAAUUUGGCACAGUAACAUGUAAAUUUAAAAUAUAAACUAUAUCAUAUUAUAAAUUAAAAAAAUAUUAUUAUUGUGGCGGAUCUCGACUCCUACCUGAUGCACCAUUAUUGCGGAUAAGGACUCGGCCCAUCAUGUGAGGUAUUGUUUACUCUAACCCAUGAGCUUCACGAUUUUGCUCUUUAAAAGGCACCUCACAUGGAAAGAAUUUUUUUCUCCUUAUAAAUGCGAGUUCUCCUUGACUCACAAUCGAUGUGGGACUAUUGAUGCCCUCCACAUUAUUAAAACCACAACAAAGCCUCUCAAUCAAGGGAGACUCCAAUGUAUAUAGUCCGAGGAGUCCCACAGUAAGCUGAGACGGACCUCGGCCCCAAAAAAUCAAGGUGGACCUCGAUCCCUAUUUGACGCAUCAUUGUUGUGGAUAAGGGCUCGACCCAUCAUAUGAGGUAUUAUUCGCUCUAGUCUAUGAGCCUCACGGUUUUGUCCUUUAAAAGAUACCUCAGGUGGAAAGAAUUUUUUUCUCCUUAUAAACGCGAGUCCUCCUUGACUCACAAUCGAUGUGAGACUAUUGGUGCCCUCCACAUUAUUAGAACCACAACAGAGCCCUCCAGUCAAGGAAAACUCUGAUGUGUACAAUCUGAGGAGCUCCACAGUCAGUCGAGAUGGAUCUCAGUCUCAAAAAAUCGAAGCAGAUCUCGACCCCUAUCUGGCGCACCGUUGUUGCAAACAAGGGCUGGAUCCGUCACAUAAGCUAUUAUCCACUCUGGUCCAUAAACUUCACGAUUUUGUCCUUUAAAAGGCACCUCAUAUGGGAAAAAAUUUUUUCUCCUUAUAAACGCAAGUCUCCCUUGACUCGCAAUUGAUGUGGAACUAUUGCUGCCCUCCAUAUUAUUAGAACUACAAUAGAGCCCCCCAAGUCAAAGAUGACUUCAAUGUGUACAGUCCGAAGAGCUCCACAAUUAGUCGAGACGGAUUUCAGCCCCAGAGAAUCGAGGCGGACCUCGCCCCCUACCUGACGCGCCAAUCUGUUACAGCCAAUCCCCUGUUGCACUUGUCGUCGUAAAAGAACACCUGCAAAAUGAAGUUCACACUGACCAAAAUUAUGUCCAACGGAGACCCUCCAAUGCUCAAGUCAGUGGGGAGUGACAAACAGUAGAUAAUAAUUUAGAAUAGCAGAGUACCAGUCCAGAAUUGUCUUUACCAAAUACUGUUCAUUUACCUCUUUUUAUAGAUGAGUAGUUGAUAAUCAUCUGUAACGGUUAGACACGUGGAUCCCACAUAUUUCGGCAUUAUAUGAUCGUGGGAUGAUGGUUAUACCCGUCACUGAUCAUGUUUUGAUCAUUAUGCGCUCUCUGCGCUGACAGUUUCAGAUAAGUCGAUUAUAUGUCGGUAAUAAUAGUACAUCAAUCGUAUGUCGGUAACAGUCGUGGAGAUCCGAAUGAGCAUCGAUCAGUAAUUCUGAUAUGCUGAUGGUCAUCGGUCUAAGAUUAAUCUAGUUGUCGUGGCUAAGUCUGUCGAUGGCUGAAGAUAACCAAUCGUAGAUCGGCCAACUGAUUGUUAGUCGGCAUUUUAUGUUCAUGAGAUCGAUUUAGAGUCAGAAUUAGAAAUCGGUUGAAUUGUUUCAAUAAAUAUUAUUUGAAUAAAAAAAUAUUUAUAUGAAAUAGAUUGAUGCAUGAAAAGUAUAAUUAUAUUGAGAAGAAUGAUAAAUCGGAGCAAUCAAGGUUUAAAUCAGAAGAUAAAUUAAUUUUGAACCAACUAAUUAUUAUAAAAAAAAUAAAGUAUAGACAUCUAUAUGCUAUCCUAUUUAAGGUUUGGGUUGCAUGGUUUAUGUGAAAGACUAAGUGAUCUUUUUUUGCAUUAAUUCAAAGCACUCCAAUAUUUGUCUUUCAUCGGCCAUACUGAUGUAGAGCGGAAAUUGCACAAUCCAACAAUUGACGUUGCGAAAGAGAGAAAAUCAUUCUUUCACGUGAAAAAGAGACAACCCAAGCUCUUCUCUUUAUUUCCCAAAAAACAAGGUGUUUGUUGGUUGGUGGAAUUAUCAUUUUAGCUAAAAUUCCACUGAACAGGGACUAGCAAUUUUGAAGACAUUGGAGGACAAUUUGGUCUGAAAAGCUGAAAAGCAAAAUCUACAGAGAAAUAUGGCAGAACUAAAAACUGUGAUUUUCUGUUAGUAUGGCGUAGCCAAGAAUGGUGGUGUCGCCAAUUAUUUAAUAGAAAUUGUAGUAGGCAACACAUCUCAGUGUUUAAAUCCAUAACCUACAUCAUUUGGAGAAGGGGUGCAAUCACUGGCCAUAGCCCACUUUACAGAACCAAGGGUCUGGUGUUCCCAAAACGAUGAAUAUUCCUUGGAACUACUAUUUAUGUCUCAUAUCAACUACUUGACAUGAAUCACGAAGGACUCCGAAUGCAAGCGAGUCCAUAAAAUUUCAACAAAGAAGUGGGCCUCCAUACACUACAUGUGUCUGAAUUAUUUUCAGAUAAUAAGAUUAGUUCGGUGUUACCUUCCAUUUCAAGUUUUUUGAAUUCAACAAUUAUGAUUUUUUUUCUAAAAAUAGAAAUUUUAGAAAUUAUUUUUUGAUAGAAAAAAAGGUAUCUGAAUUAUUUUCAGCUAAUAAGAUUAGUUCGGUGUUACCUUCCAUUUCAAGUUUUUUGAAUUCAACAAUUAUGAUUUUUUUUUCAAAAAUGGAAAUUUUAGAAAUUAUUUUUUUUUGAUAGAAAAAAAAAAGGGUGAAGGAGGACCUAGACGUUUCGAACUUGCAUCGCUUGAAUGGAAGAAGAGACCCGUUCUACUUCUACUGGACUACCACCUUAUUCUAAAAAUUAUUUAAAAAGAAAUUUUGGAACUUAAGAAAUUAAAAUGCUACCUAGAUAAUUUUACUAGAUGUUACUAUUUUUUUUGCAAAUGUUGCCAACUGGGUAUGUGAGGAUUUCAAUUGACACACCUCAGCUAAAAUCUAGAAAACUAAUUAGCAAGUGGAAGACAUGAGAGCUAGUAUCAUAAUAAUGCUAUCUAGAAAAUAUAAACCGCUCUUAGUGUUUGGUUGUUAACGGAGGAAGUGCAAAACUGCAGAAAAAAAUUGAUGAUAAUAAGGAUACNNNNNNNNNNNNNNNNNNNNAUAACUAUAUAUAUAUAUAUAUAUAUAUAUAUAUAUAUAUAUAUAUAUAUAUAUAUAUAUGAUUGUUUUAAAAAAAAAUCUACUGAAAAUAUAAUUUUUAAUUUCAUGAUUUUAGAAUCUUCUUGAGAUUUUACUGCACCACAAAACACCAGAAAUAUUAUAAUUAUUUCAAAGAAACAUUUUAGAACACCAUGAUUAGAAAUCACAACCAUGAAACAUAGAUGGAUGGGGACGCAUAGAUGAGAUCUCACAGUUUACACAUACAGCAAUCAUCCCCCAUCCAAAUUGGAAAUACAUGAUCUCAUCUGUGCCCCACUAUGCGCAUCCUCCAUUCUUUUCUCUAUUUGGCCAGAUAUAGUGAUCUAGACCCAUUCCUUUGACAUUAAUACAAUCUUGGUUAUUCACGGAAAAUUUUAAGCAAUAAUUAAUUAUGCUAUUGGUCAUUCACGGUGGUGUUGGUGCCUAAAAUACUUGAUAUAUAAAUGCUUUUGCAUAAUAGUCCACGAGAUAUUCUUUAUUUUCAUAUUAAUCUCUCAAUCAUUUAAAUAUAGUUGUAUAUUUAAGUGAAACAUAAUCUUUUCAACUUGCUUGGUGGCAAUCGGAUCAAGUCAAACCCAAAAUGGAUCAGGUCAAAUAAAAGAUAGAUAAAAAAUCUAUCAACUUGAAUCCAACCAAUUUCGUUAAUCAUGUCAAAAAUCCAAUUCCAAAUCUGACCAUUUUAUUACAUCGAUAACCUAACCCUAUUUAAAAUGGAUAAAAUCAAGUUAAAUAGGUUAAAUAGAUUAACCAUUGCCAUCUCUACCUAUCUUAAUCAUCAUGCUAUUAAGAAUAACUUCAAUUGCAAAUUAACUUUAUACUAUCGAUGGCUAUAUACAUAUUCUCCUGUCCUCACUUGAACCAAAUAGGGCCUGUAAGCCAACCAUGGGCAUCCAUAGUUGGCAUGAUCAUCAGUAUCGAGGUUGGCAUGAUCAUCAUGAUCUGGUGGGAUCCAUGCAAUUUGCCUUUCAUGUGUUACAGCGGGUCCAUUCAAUCACAACCAUCAUGCCAAACAUGGACAAUCAUGAUUGUCUAAAGGGCCUUCUCCAGCCCGUUACUCCCUCUCUCCAUUGUUAUGCAAACUUCCAAUAAUUGCCCUUUAAAUCAUUGCCUACGAACAGUAUAUCAAGAUAGAGUAAAUUGCAUCAUUUAUUGUAUGCUUCAGAAAAUCUAAUGCUCUAAUUACCACAUUCCAAUAACUCUAAAUGCCUUUCAAUAUGAAGACUGAACCAGUAUCAUCUAAAAAAUAUAAAAUACUUGAUACUUCACUACCUUCAUAGACAAACUUACCUAUCAGUCCCUUGUCCUGACAACAUAAUAUCUGAUGGUAUUUCCUCCAACCUGGUUAUGGCAACCUCAGGUAGUUCUUGUUACGCAAGACCUUUAUGCAUGAACAUCAGUGUUCAAAGUAAUUGAACAAAGUCUUGGAGGAUUAAUAGCUGCUAUCAUGCAAAGCCUUGGAGGAUUAAUAGCUGGUAUCAUGCACAAGGGCUAUAAAUAGGCCAGAUUUGAGUUGGAUCCAUGUUGUGCUUGUGUCCUAAAUCGAUAAGAAAAUUGAGUUCAAAUCCAUCAAAAUGAAUAAGCUCCAACGUCAUGUCCAACUCGAUAAAUAAUUGGAUUCAUAUUCAGAUUUGAGGGUUUUUUUUUUUGGGUGGGGGGGCGGGGGGUGUGUUGUCUAAGGUUCAAUUUGGCAUAAUAUUUUAGUGAACCAACUAGUCAAAGUUUAACAAUUUCCAAAACUAAAAGAAUCCUUAUCACAAUAAUCUGUAUAAAAGGCAUACAGUAUGGAAAGUGAAUGAUUGGUUUUGAAUAUUUCAACCAGUUGUGAAAUAGACUUGAAUUUAUUAGUUUAAUUGAAACAAAACCAAAGUCUGAAUGUCCGUGCCAAUUUUGGAACUAAAAUAGCAACAGGCAAGAUUUAAGGAGAAUAUGAAUGAGAAAAGAUACAGAUCCAAAUACAAAGAAAAGGAUUUAAUACAAAUCAUGAAACCAAUUUUCUGUACAUUCCUAUAUUUACAUAUAUCAUACAUAACCAGGUUCGCAGUGAAUAACCACAAUAUAUUUUUUUUUUUAAAAAAAAAGGUCUUGGAGGAUGAUAGCCUAAUUAAUAAGUUUGAAAUUUUAAUGGUCUAAAAAAUCACUAAACCAAAAAGAUGCUUGAAAUCAUGGGUGGAGACAUAUUGACUAAUUUUAUUAUCUUCUUUUAUGAAUUGAGAACAUGCUAGAAAACAAAUAAAUGAACAAUAUGGCGGUUGCCAUGAAUGUCAUUAUGGAGAAAUACUAUCUUAACACCAUGAGGUGACAAGAGUUCCAGAAAAAUUUUACAGAAGGUAGGUUCUGGUCACUCAAAAUAUUAGACGGCAAUAGUGAUGAAGCAUGAAAGACAGCUAUAUUGAAAAUGAUAAAGUAGUAGUUCUAAAACUAUUUAGUUUAAAGUCUGUGGAUGCAUAAAGAAGUUGAAAGUUGCAUCAAUACGAGAUAAACUGGAGAAUUGUCUGAGAUACUUUGCAGACAACAACGCAGACAAAAGGAAUCAUCACCCAAAGAGAUGUGCAAAUAGGCAAUCCUAAGUCUGAGAAAGUAAGACAUUGGGAAAUUAGUCCUUCCAAAACUCUUCCACAAUGGCCAAAAAAUAAGGUCACAACAGAGCAGCAAUAUCAUAUGAUACUGACAAGACUAUGCUCAAAAAGGCACUAUGUCUGAGAGAGCAUUUUGAUUAUAGCCUAUUAUUCAUAUACUUCAUUACUCCAGCAGCAACUCUAGAUAUCAUUACACACCUCUAGAGCAGGUUCCAAAGAAUAUCUAAAAUCUACAUUCCAGUUCAGAUCAAGUGACUUCAAAAAUUGUAAUUAAGCUAAUUCAGAAAAAUCGAGCUGCAACUGUGGUGAGCCAUCCCCAUUAGUCAAAUCAAAUCAACAAAGACAGAUAUCACGCUUGUGUAACCAUUCAUCUAAGAGUUACUCAAUCACAUGUCCUAGGCAGUUAGAAGGACAAAGUCGUCUAGUAAGAAUCUGAACAUAUAUACAGAAUCUCAGUUUGGACAACAAGCAUGAUACAGCUUUUCAUGUUUAUGGAGGUAAUUGUUGCAACAAGAAGCCUCCAAAGGAGAUCAUCGAAUGCUACACUGCACCCCAGGAAUUGUCCAUAGAUUCAAAACCUUCUAAAUGAAUAGAAAAAAAAAAGAAUUUAAAUGGACUGCAGACAGAGAUUUGGAGAACAGCAUUCCUAUCGGGAAAUAAAGCUUCUUUUGUACAAUGCAAACAGCAGCCUCAGACCUAAAUGAGGAGCAGCAAGUCAUGUAACUAUUAAGGCACAGAGAAAAGUGUACAAAAAUACAACACAGUCAACUAAAAAUAUCAUGACUGCAUAAAGUUGCAAUUCCUUAAGAUGUAUAAAACUCAGCUGCUAAUUUUCCAGGCAAACCCAAGUCAAAAGAGCAGAUAAACAGGACCUUAUGAUGCAGCUGUAUCACUUUCCUCACCCUCAUUCUCAAACCUGACUGGCUUUCCUUUGAGGCAUUUCCUGUAAUAUAAAUAAGAUUCAUGUUAAGAUACUGUAACAGCAAAUCCAAGGACCAUGCUUUCAAGAAAAUGUUGACAAAUCAAAGGGGCAAUACGGGUUCACGAGGCAUAUCUCCUGCUUGCUUAUACAUAAGCAACAAGUGGUGUGCAUCGAAUGCCUCUAAUUUUAUUGUACCGAUAUUUGUCUUUAACACUAGUUCUUUCCAGCAGAGCAUAAAACAUGACAAUCAACAUGAGGCAGAAAAAUCAUGGACCGUUUUAUUUUAGGGUUCCUCAUUUAUCCAGCUUGUUUUCAAAACACAAUUGAAAGAAAUUAAAUAAAUAUAUAAAUAAAUAGAUAUGGGUAUCCAACAAAACAAGAUGCUGACAAUUUAUAUAGGCUGGUUAGUGUAAUUUGUUGUCAACACAGAUUCAAUGGAGAACCUCAGUCCUGGAAAAUACACCUUGGAAAGGGUUAGACAAGCUUAAUCAAAAAGACAAACUAAAAUUAGUAACACAAGCAUAGGCAUUGGUAAGAAAACAUGAACCAGACAUGUUAAUGUGCAGCACAAAAGGGUCUAUCUCAUAAAUGCAGUGGGUAAAUCAUGAAUAACUAGUGGUAGAAGACCUUUGAGGGAGAAAAUUCUCAUCUGAUAAAGCCUUUUCUAGCCUCUCUUCAAAUGGGGUGGCAUGCCAACUAACUUUCUGAUCCUGUUAAUACAUAUAAUAUGACUUAAACAUACAUCCAGAACCUCUAAAUUCUGAUGCAAAAUAAGGAAAAAAUCAAAAUAAAUAACAAAAAAUUAAAAUUAUACCUCUUUGUACUUGUUUGUUGAAUUUGGAAUUCCAUUUCCAUCCCACGUCUUAGGUGAAAUACGAUCAGGUUCCUCUUCAUUCCAAUGUGCAGCAACCAUACCGAGAAUAGGCCUGUCUCCAUCAGAACUCUUACCAGAGUGAGACCUUUCCUUUGUCAUAAUCUCAUUCCCUCCUUUGUUGUUUGUGGUUGGAGGCCUCAGCCAUUGAGACAAACUUGUGACAACAAUUUGUGAACUGUCUGACCUAAAGGGUACUUUUUCUUUGCUAUGCAAAGGUGUUGCCAAACUAAAGGAGCUCUCACCACAGACAUAUUUAUCUUUGUAGAUGACCCCAUCAUUUUGGCUUGUCUUCUCAUUUAGCAUUGUGGGUCUUGAAGAGCUGGUCAAUUUAGAAUUCUUAGGAUCUGAAGUAAGUAAUGCCUGCUCUGUCUUCUUUUUGGUAUCUGGACUAUCACCAUUUCUCUGUUCAAAUUGAUCAUGUGAUUCACCAGGAUGACUGCAGCCCUCACUCAGCAAUUUCCAUUGAGAUAUAUUUUCCACGGGAUUUAAAACUGAGUUUACAUAUUGUGUUCGAAUCCUGGUGCUUUUCUCAGUUCUGAAUUUCUCUAGGUUAGAUGGAUAAACAGUUGCAGGAGUCUGCAUCUCAUCUGUCAAUUUUAGUGGAGUUGGAAAAGGCGAACAUUUUGAAGCAAAUGGUGAAAACUGGCUUUCUUUCCGAGAUGGAGACAUAUCGGUAACAGCUCCUUUUCCAGAUUUAACUCCAGCCUCAUGUUUUACACCUUCUGAUCUCAAAGACUUGAUUGGAGAAACUGAGGGCAUAAUAUUCUCAAAGUGUCGCAAUGUAUUAUGUCCCUCAGAAGUAAAGCUACAUUAAAAGGGAAAAAAAAAUCAAGAAACAAUGUUAAACAUCUUGUCAGUUUAAAUAUAAACCAUGAACAGUUCGACAUGUAAUCAUUUCGAACAGCAUAUGGAAUAAGAACUGAGAGAGAGAGAGAGAGGAAAUCAGAAAACCUUACACUUCAGGACUUUUUUCUGAAAAACCAGAAUCUUCAUGCGUCUGUGGAGUUUUGGGAAGUUGACCAUGUUGUUCAUCCCAUAGAAGUUUCCUCCCAGCUGUACCAGAAAGCCAUGAGUCGAAUUGAGGAAGCAUGCAGUCCUGAUCAGGAAUUUGUUGGAUUACUCUUUCAGAUGCUUUACGAAUUUCAGCAGGAGUUUCUAGCAAAGCACCACAAGACUUGAGAAAUUUGGCCUGAUCAAAAUAGCUUUGAAGUCAGUACUUUGGAAUUCAAAGUGUAAUGAAUUUGCCAAAUCUAGUUUAGAAACCAAGCAGCAUAACAUAGCAGAAGAACUGAUGAGCAUUAUUUAGCUGCCUAAAAGGGCAGAAGCAUAAGACAGUAUUUCACAACGUGUUCCAGUCAUGCAUUUUUUUGUUACCAAAAGAAGAAAAAAAAAUCAUGCAUGUAUUCCAAAGACUGUAAGAGAGACAAUUAAAGAAUAUCAAUUUUCGUGUCAAAAACUUUCCUGCGCAGAAAUAAUUAUCCAUAUGUCUACAAGAUGACCUUUCUGCCAAUGUUGUCAUGCACCUACAAAUUGAAAAUCGAACUAUGCUUAUUGCAGAUGCAGAAGUGCCUUCUGCUGAAAGGAUCACUAUGCUACUCAGAACAACCUUUAUGCUUAAUUCAUAGGUUAUCAAUUAUCACCAUUAAAAACAUAUUUGUAUAUAAGAGAUUAUGGGAAAUAUUUGCUAUUUAAGAUAUGAGCUUAGAAUUAUUGUUACACCACAUGAUAGACCCAAAGAUUUAAGUGCAAAUCCAUAUCAUGCUAAAGUAUGCCGUGUAUGGUAAAGCAAAGUUACCUACAACAUAUUUGGGUGGCUCAUGCAACAAGUUUGUAUAGUAGCGGAAGCUAUAUCCUAUAGCUCCACAUUGAUUGAUACCACAACAGCCUGUAUUCACCUCAAUAAUUUAUCUAGACAUUCACAAAAGUAUUGUGAUUUUGACAUAAAUAAUUUAUCUCUAUCAUGAAUUAGAUUUUAACUGUAAAAAUAGAGCAAAAAAUGAUAAGUUUUUGCUAAAAAGUUCAAGAUCCUUUUUGUAUAUUUCUGCGGACUGGAAUCCUAGAUUAUAUUAGUCUUUGUUCAGUUUGCAGGUUAAAUAUCAUUAUAGGGUAACAAUAUAUUUAGAUUGUUUUAUUCAGCAACUACAUGUUUCAACCUUGAUUUGACAGAGAGAAACUAGAAAUUGUUAGUUGAAUGCUUAAAUAAUUUAUACAUCCCAUCACAGAACAAUUAAAAGAAUAACAUCAGUUCUAGAAGAAAGAACAAGUUUAUUUAUCACAUCUUAGUGUGCCUUUAAGCGUAGCAUAAGGAUAGGAUUAUCUACCACAUCUUAGCAUGCCUUCAAGUGCAGAAUAUCUUUUCAUGCCAGUGCAUGCCAUGUGUUGGCACAGAAUAGUAAAAUAAGGAUACCACCACUGGUCCUUAGAAACAGAGGAACGAUAUAAAUAGUUUAGCCCUUAUGUAGACCACAAAAUGUGGUGAACAGUCAUGGAACAUGACAACUUCAAUAAGAACAAAAUAUAAGGUAUGUGGUCACAUAGACUUGGACGUGUCAUGUACUUGGUGGCCAUCAAUACGUACUAGAAUGUGGCAUGUGCAGUGCAUGUGUUUUUGUUUUUAAUUAAGAAAUAUUUAAAUAAAUAUAAACAAUAAACUCUAGAUGGACUUGAACCUUCAAUCUUUUGGUUAAUAACCACAGCUUAGCUAUGAAACUUUGAUGAUGUGUGAAAGAUGCAAGUUGUGGAACGGAGAUCAAAGGCAGAAGGGGAAAGGUGGAUAGGAAAACAUGGACAUUUAGAUCCGCCUCGAGCCCAGUUAUAAUAGGAGAGUUGUCAUUAUAUAGUAGAACAGAUAGUACUAUACAUCAUCCCAUAUAAUACAAGUGCUAACAGAGGAAAAAGAAAAAAGGUAGGAAAACAAAACAAUAAACAUGCACAAUACAACAAGAAGGAUUCUCCUUCUAUUAUAGGUUAUAUUUCAUUUCUAUAUAAUGACAUAUAGGUUUUUUAGAAAUCUAACAUAAAAAAUUUAAUCAAGUAGCAUUUGGCAACUAAAACAACAAAAGCAGCCACAGAAGUCUGAAAACAAUUGAUCAUUGAGAGAGAAAAAUAAAAAUAAUCUCCACGCCCUUCCCCUCCAACACAAACACAUUUGUUCAACCUCAAAUAGUGUGGGUAUCCAAAAUACAACCAUGUGCUGGCCCAUAUCAGCAUGUCUCGUAGCAUAUAAUUAGGAUAAAUAAUGCCAACCAGCCUUGUCUCAGCUGGCUGUCAUUCAUACCUCCAAAUGGGAGAGCCCGUUUUUGAAACCUGGUGGUCACAACCCCGCAAUAUUUCUCUAAGAAAAAUUAAAUGAAUAACAGUAAGAGUUAUAUGAGUACAAACUCGUUCAGGCUGUCACCUAAAGGCACCCCUUGUAUCAUGUCAACAACCAUGCAGUACACAAAGUACACUUAAGUCCUUGCAUACAAGUAGGCUGGACACCUUGAGCAGUCACCACAAAAGAGAAGGGAUAACCUAGAAAACAUAACCAUAUUUGUGGAACAGGAUUAUGAUACACAACACGACUUUAAACUGCAUAUGAGCUGAAAAGUACAGAAAAUGAGACUCUUGAAGCAAAUAACCAAGAAAACCAGUUCAUAUGGGAGCGAUUGCACAUACGGGAUGCUGAAACAAUGCCCUUGAAAGUUAUUUGCAGUAACAAUGUGUUGAAUCAUCUAUAGCAAACAGUAUUAGAUUAUGAGAUAAUGAUAUUAUAUUGGAAAGAUAAGUUCAAAGAUAUAAGAUGCAUUUAGGGUGAGGAUCAUUACUGACAAAGCAGCAUAGGACACAAUUUCAUUGCAUUUAAACAUCAGUUUCUCAAAAACCAAGAUAAAAUGAACAAAAUAUUGGCAUAGCAGUUUUUUCAAGAAAUUAUAGGUAAAUUAAUAGAUAAAAUUGCAGAAUUUUGUACUGUUAAGAUCACAGAGAAAGGACUUAAAUCAGAAGCAAAAUAAGAACUCGGUGUGAAGAAUUGAAAAACACACCUCAUGCUUAAGUUGUCUCUCUAAGCUGCUAUCCUUAUCAACGUUAUCCUUAUGCCUUACUUGCUCGUGGGGAGAAACUUCCUCUUCUAACAUGGAAAAAGAUUACAUAUGGAAAAAAGGGGAAAGUCAGCUCUAUGUUACGAUUGGAAUCACCGGAAAAUUUCCACGACUUCAAAUAUCAAAAUCAGUCACUACCUUCUCGCAAGAAAACAGAUGCAAGCUGGUUUUUUGACGGCAACUUCUCCUGAUUAAUCGAGGGAGAUCACAAGUACAUCCAAAAAUUAAGCAUAUAUACGGAUUAAUUGAUGUCCAAAAAGGCAAAUUCCAUGAAUUCUUAACCACAAACUAUUGAAAAUUGAAGAAAAAAAAAUCCAGAAAAGAAUCUGGAAGUAGCCAGACCGUGCUCAUAGAAGGAGUCGAACUGGAAAAGAUAUGAGCUUUCCGCUGGUCAUCGCCUUUAAGCCGAAAGCAACCAAAAAGACACCCCAUUUCCGAUCAGGCUCCUCCAAUCGAACCUCUCCGACCGCUCCAAAAACUACUGCGAGAGAGCGGGAGAUCGAGAGGGAGAAGGACUGAUCUCCGAGCUCGCGAAGAAGAUCAAGCCCUAGCUCCCAGCAAGAUCGGUCGAAUUAGGGUUCCCGAAGUGGGAAUUCGGAGAACUAGGGAGGAGAGCUUCUAGUUCUUGGUAUUGAGUUGGGUUUUAAUUUGGGGAAAUUUGAAAUUUAAAUUGGUUGGGACGAGGGAAAGAAUGAAAAUAGAAAGGAAUUGGGAAGCGGACCGUUUUACAUGUUUCAGUCCAGGUGUUAGCACGCCUUGCUGGCUGUUGGGUGUACUUAGUACUCUGAAUUACUGAAAAACUUUUUGACUCAUUCAGAAACAUUCAAUUAUUCUUGAAUUAUGCAUGACAUUCUACUAUUCAUUGACAACUAGCAUAAAAAUCCUUUAUGUAUAGCAAAUUAAUGAUGUCAUAUAUCUGUUAUUAGCGGUGGUGGUGCUUUUUUUUGUUAUCGUAUAUUAUUUUUUGCCUCUUUAUAUUAAUUUUCAGAUGACAAUUAUUCAAAUAGUUUUAAAAAGUCUAUACUAUUUUAUUUUUUGCUAUUUAUUUUUAUUUUCUCUAUUAUCUAAACUUGGAUUUACUGGUCCUUUUCAUAAAUUUUGAAUCAUUAUCUUUAGGAUAGAUUAUAAAAACCUCCUUGACAUUUAUAUUUAUAAAACUUGCAUCCAAUAUUUUUAUAAAAUCAAUAUUUAUAACUUAUUAAAUUAAUAAAGCUACUGAAAUUGCUCACAUAAUAUAAAAUAUCAAAAUUAUCUCCAUACAAAUAUAGAGAUUGAAAUAGCUAGAUUCAUUGAUUUUCGAUUUUUCUCGAACUCUCCUCAUCUUUCAUGAUCUCUCUCUCUAUUUCACUACUCUUUUCAUCUUUGUAAACAAGGAUCUUUUCUUGGAGAGCUAGGACUAUCCUCUUGAUGGAGGCGAGAAGCAGCACCUCUAAGAUGGAGAUUUAAGCUUUUAGCACAACCUUGGCAACAGUACCCAGAUCUUAUCGGCCUCCAAAUCAGUGACGGAUCUAGAAAUUUUACUUUGUGAAAUUAAUAUAAUAAAAAAAUUGAGGAGCUACAGUAAGAAAGAAGAAAAAAAUAAUAAAAUAUUUUUUAAAAAAUAACAAAAUAUAUAAAAAUGAUAAAAUAUAAUAUCUUAAAUAUUCUGUAGAGUAUCAUAGUAAAAUUAUAGAUAUUAUUAAAUAUUAAAAUUAUAAUGACUAACCAAAAAUUAUGCUAAUCAUAUAUAUUUGAUAAGAGUGAAAAAAAGAAGAAUACAAAAAAAAUUAAAAAAAUAUUUAAAUAAAAAGAAGUUAAAAGAGACAUACUUAAUUCAAAUUGAGAAGAGAGACAAAAAGAAUAUAUAGUUUUCUAUUAUAUUUGAAUUGAUUAGAAUAUAAAAAAUAAAUUAUUAUGGAGCAUAAAUAUAAAGGAUAGACUGAUAGAGACCAUAGGAUUGGGAGGGGAUAUUAAAAAAUAAAUAAUAAAUAAUAAAGAAAGAAAGAGAAAGAAUAAGAGAGAGGGGGAGAG